UUCACAAAAAAUGUCUCAAAAAACUUUACAGCACAAAAAGAUCUAAAUUACAUACAGGAAUAUAUAGGCAUUUCAGUCAAAUCAUACAGACAGAUUCAAAGUCAAUUAUGUUAUUAACUUUUGUCUGUCUGCUCUUCAUUGUCAUUUGGCAGAAAUAACAAUACUUUUGUCUUUAUAACUUGUCUGAACUGGACUUGAUGUGCAGGAUAACCAGUCAAAUGCCAAGGGUGCGAAUGAACAUCCACAAUAACAAACUUUGUACAGUUCAAGAUGAGCCAUGAAAUACUUAUAUUAUUUUUUUAAUAUAAUACCUUAACAUGUUUAUCAAAUUCAUAUUUAAUCAUAUAUUUUAUAAUUGUCGACACAUUAAAAAAAAUUUGUGUAAUAUUGUUUAUUUAUAAAAACUAUAGAAACUGAUCUGUGUUUGGACUGUUUCGAUCCAGUGGAGUUAUCAAAAUUAUUAUCUAAACCUUCAACUUGUGUGUUAGACCCAAUCCCAACAAAAUUAUUACCUUCUAAACAGGUGCAGGUGGCAGGCAUGAUUACACACAACUGUGGCUCAUCAGGCUAAUCAAAGAAACUGCUCAAAAGGCCGGCUGCUCUCUGGGUCUGUGGUAAACCAACUCCCUAGCAGUUGAGAAUUUUUUGCUCCUCAAUGGUAAUAUCACAUUUUGCUCUCAUACCCCGGUUCCCAAAAAUGAUUUCAAACCGGUGAUGCGUGUUUCCACCAACGAAAAGAGGUUCCAGAGCACAAACUGUUUCAACUGUGUGAACGGUAACAUCACCCAUGGGUGCAUCGAAGAUGCAGACAAUAGAAGCAACAAAUACGGGAGCAAAGACGAAGAAAGUACUUCAUAAAUAUCAUUUAUGUUUGCAAAAACACACUAAACACACAUUGUAUUACUACUUGUUUGCGUUACACUCGAGGAUACUGAACAUAUACAAAUGAAAACAUUGUACAUACCAUUGUUUUUGCAUGGAGAUGCAGUCUCCUUUUCCAUAUUAACUGUAGUUUAUGGAUGCUCUCUUUUUGCAUUAAUAACAUAUCAUACACCUCAGCAAGCUCCGCUGCCUUGUUACAAGCUUCCCCCUGCGCUGGGCAACACCAACUGUUAAUGACUGAUUUUUGGCAUAUUCUCUGAGCUGUGAGCUACUGUUUUAUUUUGUUGUCUCUCUCUCCUCUCUCCUGCAGGGCAACUAGCAGGUGUUGUUCCACAGCUGCGGGUCAUCAGCACUAAUCAGGAGGAGCAUAAAGAGAAGUACCGUCCUGAGUACUCCCUGAGGCUGAUGUCAGAUCAUUUUUGUUCAUUUAGCUUGGUAAUCCAAGCAACCUUUUCUUGCACAUUGUCUAAAGAGUAACCUUCUUGAUCUUCUUCUGCCUUAGACAUCACCUCUUGUUCUGGCUCAAGAUGCCUUCGCUGAUCUCCUCAUACUUCCACCUGAGGACUGCAAAAGUGAUUACUUGAGAUGUGGCUAAGUGUACCGGCUUGCUGCUUCUCUGGCUGCUCUCCUGUUGUCCACUGUUGGAUGUUCCAAGGGUAUCUCUCGCUCACCUGCCUGUCUGCCCUCCCAUGCUCUCUGUCCAACAAAGGACACCAGCAAGAAUCAAACCACACAGCAGCCACCCUCCAACAGCAACGUACUCUGUCUCAGAUGAUAACAUCACUACCUCCAGCUCAUUUCCACUCAUCAUUAACAUCCUCCCCCCGGAGGCCUGUAUGGGACCCACAUUGAAAUUUUAAAAGUUUUAAAAAUCUUGCUCUGCAAUCCAUCAAGUCUGUACUUGUUGCUUCCACCAGAGUCAGAGUAAAUAAUCUUGACAGAACAAUCUGACCAGGGUAACUAUGAAGCUCAAUUACGGACCUCUCUUUCACAACAAGAAAUUUUACUUGGCAACCAUGACUCUCUACUUCACUCUCUGGUUCAACAGCAAGCAACCUUAAUUCAAUCUUUUGACCGUCUCUCUCAAGAAUUCCAGGAUAUCACCACUCAUCUCUUGCCUCCUGUUCCCCAAGUUCUAUCCUUUCCCUUCCCAAGGAAAGGACCCGCCCGAAUCUAUGCAGAUUGGUCAUACCUGGCUUACAGCAGAACAGAGGCAUCACCAUAUUUCAACCGGCAAAUGCAUUUAUUGUGGGGUACCUGGUCAUUUUAUUUCCCCUUGUCCUGUUUGUCCAAACGCGACACCUCACUAGUAAAUAAAGGAAUACUGGUGGGCGGUACUCAGAUUGCAACUAGAGUCCCUCUUGUGCAUUUACCAAAAGGCCCAACUGGUUGUGGCUUUAAUAGAUUGUGGUUCAGAGCAAAAUCUUAUUUACCCUAGGUUAGUCCAACAAUGUAACCUUCUGGUCCAGAAUCCCCAAGCUCU